AAAUCUGAAAUUAACGAGGUGGAACCCAAAUCUGCGGCCGUAAGGUUUUCGCGAUUUCCUUUUCUUUUUUCCCUUCAAUUUUCCUUCUUGAAUCUUUUACGCCCUAAUUUUCAUCAAUAGGGCAAACAGAAGGGUCACUUUAUUUGUGAGUAGUUUUCUGCUUCCUUGCCGCGAGAGUUGAAUUUUCGAUCUGCUGAGCUGCGAUGAACACAGUUGGAUGAUCGAGGUUUUGGGUUAGCUUUGGCUUACUUUGGUUCCAUCUUUAUAUUCUCCUUUACAAAGGAAGGUGAUUUGGUAUGUCUGGAAGAAAUCGGAUCCAUCGUGACAGUUAUCAUGAUAGACGUGGGUUGCCACCAGACAGACCUUUUGUCAGAGGCGGGUUGUUAGAGCCACUGCCUCCACCCUCGUCUUUGUUAGAGGAUCUUGAGAUACAGCAUGCUGAAAUCAGAAGGCUUUUGAGUGAUAAUCAUACACUAGCUGAUGACCGAGUGGUUCUUGAGCGAAAGCUUGAUGCUGCUAAAGAUGAACUUCACCGGAUGAAUCUAGUUAUAUCUGAUGUUCGUGUUGAGCAAGAUUUACGGGUGAGGGAGUUCAUCGAGGAAAGGCAUAAACUUGAAGCAGAUGUUCGUGCCAUGGAGUCUUACAAGAAGGAGGCUACACAGUUGCACAGUGAAGUACAGAAACUAAAUGACUUAAAACUUGAUCUUACCAGGGAGGUUCAGGCACUUAGGAAAGAUCUAAUCAAACUGCAAGAGGAGAACAAGCAGAUUCCGGUUCUGAGAGCUGAUGUCAAGAGCCUGCAGCAGGAUCUUAUGCAUGCUAGAGCUGCAAUUGAGUAUGAGAAGAAGGAAAAGCUUGAGCUGAUGGAUCAGCGACUAACAAUGGAGAAGAACAUGGUUUCUAUGGCACGUGAAGUUGAGAAGCUACGAGCAGAACUUACCACCAUUUCUAGUAGGCCUUGGGGCUUUGGUGGAUCAUAUGGGAGGAAUUUCAAUGGUACCGAUGGGGCUCUACAUGGUCCGUAUGGAGAAAGCUUUGGGCCUAUGGGAUCAUCUGACAGGAGUUCAUAUUAUGGGCAUGGUUCUGGUUCACAGAAGAAGCCACGAUUUGAUCGUCAUUAAGAAUCAGUGAAUGAUCUGGGACAGAGGAAGUAUGCCCUAUCUAAGUAGGCUACACCCGAGGUGACCUGUGAAUGCGGAUGAGAAGACUCUAUCUUGCUAUUUAUGGGUGGAAGAGAUGGAAGGGAAAAGAAUCCAUUUAUCUGCGGAGAGGAACAAUGAAACAAGACCCGUCAUGGUCGUAAGGAUAGGAGGCAACAUCCUCGAGCGCUUCCCUUUCACUGGUGUCUUCGUGUCGGGAAAAACUCCAUCGGAAAUAUCUUC